UCCCUGGUGGCUCAGACGGUAAAGCAUCUGCUUACAAUGCAGGAGACCCAGGUUUGAUCCCUGUGUGGGGAA
rnacentral:tRNA from 1 species